rnacentral:ncRNA from 2 species
UAGGUCGACUCUGGAGAGUGGUGUAACAACACCCACCGACGGGGCAGGCGCGCAGCAGGUUGCCUAAUGACCUUGUAUGCAUGCGCCAAACUCUCAGGUUUUGGACAGAGGGGCGGCG